CAUCCCAACAGAUCCGAACACGUUCGAUAUCAUCCAAGGGAAUGUGGCAGCUGAAGGGGAGAGUCCAAGAAAGAGGCCAAGGGUGAAGACAUUUAGCCACCCCCUGAAGUACAUGGCAGCAUCCAACCCUCUUGCUGAGCUGCAGGAAUGUGCUCCCCAUUGCAGUGCACCAGCUCCAUGUACUGAUUUUGGGUGUGAACUUGAUGGGGUUGGAGGAAACUCGACUCGGCCAUCAAGCUCACCACAAUAUAACAUGAAAAGUGAAAAUUGCUGCACACAACAGUCUGCCGUCUGCGCCGGGAGGCAAGGCAGCUCAAAGCCCAGGCUGUUACAACUCCUGGGCAGUUUUUGCCCAGAGCCAGCAAUUUUUUAGAUCCAAUAAGGG